AUGGAAUACGACAAACGCAUUAUUUUCUGGAACGUACGCGGCCUAAACUGUCCGGCCAAGCGCUCUGCCGUGCGUUCCAUCAUCUCCUCCGCCAACCCCUCUAUUGUUUGCCUGCAAGAAAUGAAACUUUCCACCGUCUCGUCGUCGUUGUCCUCGACACGUGUGGGCGUGCUUUCACCAACUUCUUCUUCCUCCCGUUCGUGGAUACACAUGGAGGAAUCCUCCUUGCAUGGCAAGAUGACGUGGUGGCUAUCUCCCACCCAACUAUUGGUACGCACUUCAUCAACGCGCUCGUCUCCCCCGAGAAGGUAG
rnacentral:rRNA from 1 species